rnacentral:lncRNA from 1 species
GUGAAAUUCACCAGCUCUGAAAUCAACAAGCUGCCGGCUCGGGAGCUACGGAGCCAACAGCGGCGUCCCCAUUUAAAGGGACAGCGCACCCGGUGGAGAGAAGAAAUAAAUACUCGAAGAGGUCUGCGCGCCCGGAUCGCUCGCCAGCGUGUGUUCCGCAGACGCGCGAGGUGCGGACGUGUUCUCUCCACACCUCCGCCGCCCCCACUGGGCUCGCCAAGCGCAUUCAAGGAUAAAAGAGUCUUCUCGGCGGCUUCUAAGGGCGUGUCCCCGCGAGGACGUCUGUCUGCGGGCGCGUUUGCAUCUCUACCCCGGGAACCCCGACACCUUUAGAUGGCGAAAGGAACCUACCUGCUUUAAGGAAUAUGAAACCGAUCUUCUCUUUUGAAGGAAAGAGAUGAAAGGAAGAAUGAAGAGAAAGACAAUUACUGAAAGAUGUUCAAGAAUGUCUGAACUUUGUUUAAAAAAUAAUGCAUACAUCCAGAGUUUUGAAGAAUGCCUGAACAGUCCACCGUCUACGGAAGUACUAAGGACAAGAUUUUUAUCCCUGUUCAGAUACUAGAAUCUCUCCUAAAAUAGAGUGAACAACCUCAGGGAUGAUCAUCAGGAGCUCAAUCCCAGAGUACGAAGACUCCAAAGUCACUUUCAGAGACUUCCCUGGUGACACUGAGGAGUGACAAGAACCAGCACAGAAGCCCAUGUGUCUCAUGCUAGAGAUGUUCGACUCCUAGACCCUGAGUGAAGGAAGUCUUUCCUGCCGAGUGACCCCUGCUUUGGGGAAGACCCAGAGAGUGGAGAGCACUGGGAGAGUUGGGACUGGAGAGAGUGGAGGGAAACCAUCUAAGAGAAGUUGGCAGCAGACAAAAGAAAGGCUUGGCCAGAGAAAGCAGCCCACUUAUAUUGUUGGACAGAAUCUGACAAAGCAGACAAGAAAUGUCAACGUGAAUGCUAUUCCUUCCACCACAGCAAUCUACAAUUCACGAAGAGCAGCUGAGGACACAGAUAAAAGAGAAAGAGCAAGUCUGCAAAUGCAACCUCAGUGAAUGGCC